rnacentral:rRNA from 1 species
GACAGAGGGUGCAAACGCUGUUCGGAAUUACUGGGCGUAAAGCGCGUGUAGGCGGCUAAGUAAGUCGGGCGUGAAAUCCCACGGCUCAACCGUGGAAGUGCACUCGAAACUGCAUAGCUAGAGUCCUGGAGAGGAAGGUGGAAUGCUUGGUGUAGAGGUGAAAUUCGUAGAUAUCAAGCGGAACACCGGUGGCGAAGGCGGCCUUCUGGACAGUGACUGACGCUGAGACGCGAAAGCGUGGGGAGCAAACAGG